rnacentral:rRNA from 1 species
GCUGGACGUCGAGCGGCGGACGGGUGAGUAACGGCUGGGAACCUGCCCUGACGAGGGGGAUAACCGUUGGAAACGACGGCUAAUACCGCAUAAUGUCUACGGACCAUAGGUGGCCUCUACAUGUAAGCUAUCGCGUUGGGAUGGGCCCAGUUAGGAUUAGCUAGUUGGUAAGGUAAUGGCUUACCAAGGCGACGAUCCUUAACUGGUUUGACAGGAUGAUCAGCCACACUGGGACUGACACACGGGCCACACUCCUACGGGAGGCACCCCUGGGGAAUAUUGCACAAUGGGGGAUACCCUGAUGCAGCCAUGCCGCGUGUGUGAAUAAGGCCUUCGGGUUGUAAAGCACUUUCAGCAGUGAGGAAGGUGGUGUACUUAAUACGUGCAUUGCUUGACGUUAGCUGCAUAAGAAGCACCGGCUAACUCCGUGCCAGCAACCGCGGUAAUACGGAGGGUGCGAGCGUUAAUCGGAAUUACUGGGCGUAAAGCGCAUGCAGGCGGUUUGUUAAGUCAGAUGUGAAAGCCCGGGACUCAACCUCGGAACCGCAUUUGACACUGGCAGGCUAGAGUCUUGUAGACGGGGGUAGAAUUUCAGGGUGUAGCGGUGAAAUGCGUAGAGAUCUGAAGGAAUACCAGUGGCGAAGGCGGCCCCCUGGACAAAGACUGACGCUCAGAUGCGAAAGCGUGGGUAGCAAACAGGAUUAGAUACCCUGGUAGUCCACGCCGUAAACGCUGUCUACUUGGAGGUUGAGGUUUAAGACUUUGGCUUUCGGCGCUAACGCAUUAAGUAGACCGCCUGGGGAGUACGGCCGCAAGGUUAAAACUCAAAUGAAUUGACGGGGGCCCGCACAAGCGGUGGAGCAUGUGGUUUAAUUCGAUGCAACGCGAAGAACCUUACCUACUCUUGACAUCCAGAGAAUCUUCCAGAGAUGGAUGGGUGCCUUCGGGAGCGCUGAGACAGGUGCUGCAUGGCUGUCGUCAGCUCGUGUUGUGAAAUGUUGGGUUAAGUCCCGCAACGAGCGCAACCCUUAUCCUUGUUUGCCAGCACGUAAUGGUGGGAACUCCAGGGAGACUGCCGGUGAUAAACCGGAGGAAGGUGGGGACGACGUCAAGUCAUCAUGGCCCUUACGAGUAGGGCUACACACGUGCUACAAUGGCAGAUACAGAGGGCAGCGAAGCUGCGAAGUGGAGCGAAUCCCUUAAAGUCUGUCGUAGUCCGGAUUGGAGUCUGCAACUCGACUCCAUGAAGUCGGAAUCGCUAGUAAUCGUGGAUCAGAAUGCCACGGUGAAUACGUUCCCGGGCCUUGUACACACCGCCCGUCACACCAUGGGAGUGGGCUGCACCAGAAGUAGAUAGCUUAACCUUCGGGAG